rnacentral:rRNA from 1 species
AGCGAACGCUGGCGGCAGGCUUAACACAUGCAAGUCGAACGGGCACUUCGGUGCUAGUGGCAGACGGGUGAGUAACACGUGGGAACGUACCUUUCGGUUCGGAAUAACACAGGGAAACUUGUACUAAUACCGGAUACGCCCUUCGGGGGAAAGAUUUAUCGCCGAUAGAUCGGCCCGCGUCUGAUUAGCUAGUUGGUGAGGUAAUGGCUCACCAAGGCGACGAUCAGUAGCUGGUCUGAGAGGAUGAUCAGCCACACUGGGACUGAGACACGGCCCAGACUCCUACGGGAGGCAGCAGUGGGGAAUAUUGGACAAUGGGCGAAAGCCUGAUCCAGCCAUGCCGCGUGAGUGAUGAAGGCCUUAGGGUUGUAAAGCUCUUUUGUCCGGGAAGAUAAUGACUGUACCGGAAGAAUAAGCCCCGGCUAACUUCGUGCCAGCCGCCGCGGUAAUAC